GACGAACGCUGGCGGCGUGCUUAACACAUGCAAGUCGAACGAAGUGGCGAACGGGUGAGUAAUACGUGAGUAACCUGCCCUCCUUUUUGGGAUAAGCCUUGGAAACGGGGUCUAAUACCGACUAAAUGGGGUUGGGCUCGCGGCCUAUCAGCUUGUUGGUGGGGUGAUGGACUCCCAAGGCGGUGACGGGUAGCCGGCCUGAGAGGGUGACCGGGCAAAUUGGACAUGGGAUACGGCCCAGACGCCUGCGGCAGGGGGCAGUAGUGGAUAUUGGACAAUGGUCUGAAGCCGGAUGGCGCGGCGCAGCGUGAGGGAUUUAGGCUUGUGGGUUGUAAUCCUCGUUCGCGAUCGAACGGGUAGGUGGAGAAGAAGCGCCGGCUAACUACGUGCCAGCAGCCGCGGUAAUAC
rnacentral:rRNA from 1 species